ensembl:ncRNA Y75B8A.47 ncRNA
UUUAGGCUUAGGCUUAGGCUCAGGUCUAGACGUAGGCUCAGGCUUAGUCUCAGGCUUAGGAUUAGGAUUAGGCUUAGGCUUAGGUUUUAGCUUAGGAUCAGGCUCGGGCUCAGGCUUGUGUUUAGGCUUAGGC